CUUCAAUUAAGGCUUCUGAAGUUUCUGGAAGGCCUUCAAUAUUGUAACCAUCUCAUCUCUUUGGAGGUCCUUUAGAACUGAGAAGAUGGAGGAGAAGACAUUAAGGCAGGCUGCUGUCCGAACAAUCCCCUUGUCUGGGGGAAAACUGAAUACAGUGAGUGCUAACUUCUUCUCAGCCUGCAUUAAUGUAUAAACUUGUCAUAACAUGGUCAUUAAAUCACCUAGUAUUCGUAAGUUCCAAAAACUAUCAUCACAUCAGGCAUAUCUUUAGUUUCAUUAAACAGUUUCACAAAGCAGAGUAGGAGGAGCAAUCAAAGGCAAAGGUAAAAGGAGGCAAGUUAUUUAUAACUAAAUUAAGGGUUAGUGACAAAAAAGUUAAAAUUUUUCUGUAAUUUAGUAAUCUUUUAAGUAUCAAUUGCAGCUAAACUUGAAAGGGCCCAUGUAAGAAGUAAGAACUCCCAAUAUUGUUGACAUGGCAUAUAUUUUACUGUAAUGCACCAUAUAAUAUGCUAAGAUGAAACGCUUUUUCAAUAAAACAUAUGUAAUGGACUCUUUGAUUGGCCAAGCUGU
rnacentral:misc_RNA from 1 species